AUAUGGCUUAUCACCAUUACUUGUAUAUGGCUUAUCUCCGUUGUUGUAUGCCUUUCAGAACAGUAUGCAUUUGCAGCAGCGUAUGCUCUGUGUGCUGAAGAGAUGUUACUGCUUCCUUCCACUUUGCAUCAUUUCCUGUACUCAGCAUGUUCGUUUUUUUGUAGUCUUUGGAAUCAGCUAGACAAGUGUGAAUGGGAUGUGCUGCAGUAAAAUGAAUGAGAAGGAAAUUCAGAAGGACUCCUUCUGACGUGGUUAGUAGAAAAUUGGGUGUGAACUUCAGGUUUAAUUUCUUCUGGAAGCCUAUGUUCAACUCGAGAAGUUUGGGCAGCAGAUCUAUGAUUAUUUAUUUAUUUAUUUAUUUAUUUAUUUAUUGUUUUGUUUAUAUUGUGGUAUGUGACCACUCUUGAAGGAUUUUAACAUUUUAAGUUUCAAGUCAGGUGAUUGUCACUGGUAAAAUAGGGCAGAUUCUUUCUUUGCAUCUCCAUGCUGUCUCCGCAGCACUGUUUCCCCUAAACAUUGAAUAAACUGGGCUUUUCUCUCA